AUAUUAUAAUUUUAAAUUUUAAAUAUUAGAGGAUUAUUAGUUAUGAUCUUUAAAUUUAAAUAAUUUGGCGGUAUUUUAGUCUAUUCAGAGGAACCUGUUUUAUAAUCGAUAAUCCACGAUAAAUUAUAUUUAAAUUAAUAAGUUUGUAUAUCGUUGUUAUAAAAUAAUUUUAAAAGAAUUAAAUUUUUAAUAUUUUUUAUUUAAUUUAAUUUCAAAUCAAGGUGCAGUUUAUAUUUAAGUAAAAAUGGGUUACAAUAAAUUUAUUUAUAUGGAUAAUUGAAUGAAAUUUUAGUUUGAAGGUGGAUUUGAUAGUAAUAAAAUUAAAUUAAAUUUUAUGAUUAUAGCUCUAAAAUAUGU
rnacentral:rRNA from 1 species